UCAACCAUCAAGCCUGGCUUGUAGUUGGACCCCUUUGCAGCUGAAAUAUGCGGCAGGUCCGAAAGAUAAUGACGGCGUCGUGUUUGACCCUAGAUGCAACGAGCUUUUUAAUAGCACGCAUUGAAGCGGUCGGCCGGCCCGGUCUUUAACCAUCAUUUUCUAA
rnacentral:misc_RNA from 1 species